rnacentral:lncRNA from 1 species
UUGUUCUUCAGAGUUCUGAGUUUCAUUUGGAGGAUGCUUAAGAAUCUGCUUACUUGACCUGAGACCUUGGCCUUGGUGAAACUGUUCUUAAAUCUUUCCCUUUGAACUACCAUGUGGAUGGGUGAAAAAGGCUGACUCCUUUCUUGGAUUUUCUAAAGGGACUAGCCUCAGGAGAAGACUCCCCACUUGAGAGAGGCUUUGUGAUAGAAGCCCUUGCUUUAUUCAUCCCCGGGCCCUCAGUUCAAGGCUGAGGCCUCUCCACCUGAGGACUAAUUAGCCCUGCCUGGGUUGAACCAGGGGCCAGAGCAAAAUACUUAGUAAUGCAGUGGGUGACCUUGGUGUCUUCAAUGUCUUACAAUGUUCUAAGCACUCUAUAACACCUACUUCAGCUACCUUCAUGACUGUUGGAACAAAUUGUUCUCAUCAACCAAUUCUUUCAGGAGAAAUCUUUAUAUACUUGGGCUAGACAUCACCUUGGUUAAGCCCAUCUUCUGAGAUAAUUUUACCAGUGUGACCUCUGUGCAUGCUACAGCUUCUUGGGCGCCCAAGUGAGAGUUGGGACAACAAAGAGAGAUUCAGAAGGAGUUCCCUGAACAAACAGAUGAAGAAGCCCGCAGCUGGGACCCUGCAGUCUGAAUGGAUGGAUCAGAGCCCUCAUCACCUGUCUGAUGGGAUGUGCUGCUGGCUUGCUUUGUUUCUAUAGCAGUGUGAGAUGCAGCUGCUAACUGAUAACCUGUCCUGAGCCUGGGGUUUCACCUCAAAGCUGUCCCACAACAUGAUGAUUAACUAUGAGUGAUUUAACUAUAAUCAAGCAAGGCAAAGACCCAGGAAAACUCCAAGAGACUCAUGAUGAAAAAAAGGGUAUCCACCACCAUAAAAGGAAUAGAGUCCAGAUUUAAAUUAAAACAUAUCAUUCUUCACUUUAUUUCCUCCAUAAAUUUUUCUCUAGUGUAAGCAAUAUGUAUCUUAUUUUACAACAUGACAAACAUGGAAAUAUGAACUAUAUCAUGUUACCCAAAUUCUUGGGAAGUAAGAGAGAUGGAAGAGAGGGAAAGAACAUGAAUUGCAAAAUGUCAGAAAGUCAGUAUUAAAAAUUGUAUCUACAUGUAAUCUAGAAAAAAAUAAAUAUUUCAAAUUAAAAAAAAGAGAAAGUUAU